rnacentral:rRNA from 1 species
UACGGAGGGUGCAAGCGUUAUCCGGAUUCACUGGGUUUAAAGGGUGCGUAGGAGGGCAGGUAAGUCAGUGGUGAAAUCUCCGAGCUUAACUUGGAAACUGCCGUUGAUACUAUCUGUCUUGAAUAUUGUGGAGGUGAGCGGAAUAUGUCAUGUAGCGGUGAAAUGCUUAGAUAUGACAUAGAACACCAAUUGCGAAGGCAGCUGGCUACACGAAUAUUGACACUCAGGCACGAAAGCGUGGGGAUCAAACAGG